AUUGACUACAUACAAAAUGCCGUUCUUAAUUUAAGGAUUUUAAAGGAAGAGAGGAUUCGGUACAUUUAUCAUAUUAUUAUUAUUAUUAUUAUUAUUAUUAUUAUUAUUAUUAUUAUUAUUAUUGAUCACACGUUUACUAACACAGCAAGCUACAGACGCCUACUACGGGAGGGCCUGUUGAAGAGAGAGAGAGAGAGAGAGAGAGAGAGAGAGAGAGAGAGAGAGAGAGAGAGAUUAAAAGUAAAUCAUAAAUACAUAAUGAUUGAUAUAUAGACAUCUUUUCAUUUACAUUAUAUAUAUCACUCGACAUUACUAAAACGUUAGUUUUCUAUCUGUUUGCGAACGACCAAAAAAUAUAAUAAUUAUUCAAAUGUACGUGUGUGUGUGUGUCUCUGUGUGUGUGUGUGUGUGUGUGUGUGUGUGUGUUCACUGUUGUACGCUGACACCGUUAAGUUAGCCUCGUUAACCAACUCGACAACUUUGUGUUUAUGCUGGCGCUGACGCGGUCAACUCUAUGAAAGGGUGCUGCAGGGGACGCCGCCAUCACUGCCCCCAGCGGAGCGUCAGGCGUCAGGCGUCAACUUCUGAAUCAUCGUGUUUAUCAGUCUCGAGUUUCAAUUUUCUUUCUUUUCUUUAUUUACUCCGUCUUCAGGUCUGACAGCCGCGAAGUGGGCAACGCGGUGGAAUUUGCUGGUCGCGGGGGUCACUAGUGUGUUUGGGCAGUGGUAAGGAACACGAGGAGAAUAAAGUCGACAAGGACAGCUUCCACACACGUCCCUGGUUGAUGGCGAUGCUGAUGGCCACGAAGCACCCGCUGCGCCCGAUGCCCGCCGAACAGUGCACGAUGACCCCCGCCCCGGCCUGCUGCUGGGAGAGGUCGCGUGAGAGGCAGGGAGAGGGAGGCAAGUAGGUUCCCUUGGUUCGCUCUUUGCUGGAGAGGGGGCCACCACUGCCCCCUUACUCCAUCCCUCCUCCCUUGGGCCCCUCCAUUCAUUCCUCCCUCCGUCAGUGGCUCCCUUCCUGCCUCACCUUCCGCACGUGGUCCACCUGCAGGGCCAUCGCCAGGAGUUGGUCGGCCUCGGAGGGCGCCUUGUGGUCCGGCCAAGCGGUGUACCAAAAGUGCAGUGUGUCGUGGCGCUCGUCCCCUCGCUGAUCCCGCCACGGCAGCGUUACAGCGUCACAUCGGCACCACAGCGACGAUACACAAUCACCAGAGCGCCACCGCACCAUCCCCGCCACAGCCAUGUCACAUCACAGCCGCAGUACCGUCGCAUCAACGCCAACCCGAAGAGAAAGGACCGUCGACUUCACGUGACAUCCCUGCCGCGCGCCUCUCCUUCCGCCGUGACUGCCGGGCCAUGCGAGCGGCGACUCAUGGGAUGGGGGUUGGAUGACUUCCUCACCUCACAUAGAACCACUAGCCACGAACACCCAUAAACCAGCUGAACAAGCCACAACCUUGGAAGACAAAAAUUGUCAAGCACAGGACAAUGAUUGAAGUUGCCACCACGAUAAUCUGGUCCCAUCCAGCUGGUGCAUCACUUCAGCUGUUGAUGAGGCAACCAAUCCCUUGGGCAACAUCAGCAACAGGAAGCCCCAAGUCCAGCAUCUCCAAUCUGCUGAGGGAUUGAACUCAGGAUUUCUUGGCUUUGAGUGUGACCACCUCUGCACCAUGAAAAAGGAACCAGUGCUUGACAUACAAGACCUGCCAUAACUUACCUGGAUGAAAUUUAGAAACAGCAAACAAUGAUGGCAACACUUUACCAAAUGAAGAUUUUGAAAAAUGGAAGCAAAUUCAACGAUUUGUAAAAAAAUGAUCAAGAUACAAUAUUGCAAACUUGACUCAAUCCUGUAAAAAACCCAAGAGCUGUUCUCCUCAAUAAUCAAUCAAUCCUGUAAAAAUAU